rnacentral:rRNA from 1 species
AUUGAACGCUGGCGGCAUGCCUUACACAUGCAAGUCGAACGGCAGCACGGGGCAACCUGGUGGCGAGUGGCGAACGGGUGAGUAAUGCAUCGGAACGUACCUUUCGGUGGGGGAUAACGUAGCGAAAGUUACGCUAAUACCGCAUAUUCUGUGAGCAGGAAAGCAGGGGAUCGCAAGACCUUGCGCUGAUUGAGCGGCCGAUGUCGGAUUAGCUAGUUGGUGAGGUAAAGGCUCACCAAGGCGACGAUCUGUUGCGGGUCUGAGAGGAUGAUCCGCCACACUGGAACUGAGACACGGUCCAGACUCCUACGGGAGGCAGCAGUGGGGAAUUUUGGACAAUGGGGGCAACCCUGAUCCAGCCAUGCCGCGUGAGUGAAGAAGGCCUUCGGGUUGUAAAGCUCUUUCGGCCGGGAAGAAAUCGCACGGGCUAAUACCCUGUGUGGAUGACGGUACCGGAAUAAGAAGCACCGGCUAACUACGUGCCAGCCGCCGCCGUAAGAC